UACGUAGGGUGCAAGCGUUAUUCGGAAUUACUGGGCGUAAAGCGUGCGCAGGCGGUUUGGUAAGACAGGUGUGAAAUCCCCGGGCUUAACCUGGGAAUUGCAUUUGUGACUGCCCGGCUAGAGUGUGUCAGAGGGGGGUAGAAUUCCACGUGUAGCAGUGAAAUGCGUAGAUAUGUGGAGGAAUACCGAUGGCGAAGGCAGCCCCCUGGGAUAACACUGACGCUCAUGCACGAAAGCGUGGGGAGCAAACAGG
rnacentral:rRNA from 1 species